rnacentral:sRNA from 1 species
ACGCGAUGAAGCCCAGACCUGCAGGGUUCGUGGAUAAUAAACUCAAGCAGCGAGUGAUCCAGUGUAGACUAUGGUCGAAGAAAAAGAAAUGCUUUUAGGAUUCAGGUAGAAAAAGUAUUUAGCAUAAUUAGUAGUGAGAAGGAACUUAAGAAUUUAACAGAAUUAGAAGAUGAACAUUUGGCAAAAAGAGCAAGACAAGGUGAAGAGGAUAAUGACGUCUUGCUCUGUCACCCAGGCUUCAGUGCACUGGCACAAUCAUGGCUUACCGCAGUCUUGAUGUCCCAGGCCCAAGCGAUCCUCCCACCUCAGCCUCACAAGUAGCUGGGAUUACAGGUGUGCGCCAGCAUGCCCAGCUAAUUUUUUAAUUUUUUUGUAGAGACAGAGUCUCCCGUAGUUGCCCAGGCUAGAAUUUGUAUCUUAAUAUCUUAAUUAUAACAGCAUUUCAUUGCAUUCAUAUAAAGCUUUCUACCUUAACAAAAAAUUAUUUAAAUAAGAAAAGGACUUUUUUUUUUUUUCUUAUUUAAAUAAUUUUUUUUUGUUUUUUAGACAGUCUCGUACUGUGGGCCAGGCUGGAGCGUAGUGGCACGAUCUUGGCUCACUGCAACCUCCAUCUCCCGGGCUCAAGUAAUUCUCCU